rnacentral:rRNA from 1 species
AGGGCGCAAGGGGAAUGCCUUGGCACUGAGAGCCGACGAAGGACGCGACAAGCUGCGAUAAGCUACGGGGAGCCGCAAAUGGGCUUUGAUCCGUGGAUUUCCGAAUGGGGAAACCCGAUGGAGCAAUACUCCAUCAACCAUGACUGAAUACAUAGGUCAUGGUGGGGAACCGCCUGAACUGAAACAUCUAAGUAGGGCGAGGAAGAGAAAUCAACCGAGAUUCCGCUAGUAGUGGCGAGCGAACGCGGAAGAGGCCAAACCGGAGGUAGCAAUAUUUCCGGGGUUAGGACUGCAAUAUGUAACUUUAAUCUUUAACUGAAUGCUUUGGGAAGAGCAGCAAUAUAGGGUGAUAGCCCCGUAAGUGAAAAGGAUUGAGUGCUAGCAGUAUCCAGAGUACCAGCGGACACGUGAAACCCGCUGGGAAGAUGGGGGGACCAUCCUCCAAGCCUAAAUACUACUCAGUGACCGAUAGUGGAGCAGUACCGUGAGGGAAAGGUGAAAAGUACCCCGGGAGGGGAGUGAAAAAGAACCUGAAACCUUGUGCCUACAAGCACCGAGAGUCCGUUAAUGGAUGAUCGGGUACUUUUUGUAGAACGGUCCGGCGAGUUAAUAUUUGCAGCGAGGUUAAGGAACUGGAGUUCCGGAGCCGCAGCGAGAGCGAGUCUGAAAAGGGCGUAUGAAGUUGCAGGUAUUAGACCCGAAACCGGGUGACCUAUCCAUGAGCAGGCUGAAGCGGUGGUAAGACACCGUGGAGGGCCGCACCCACGUCUGUUGAAAAAGCCGGGGAUGACUUGUGGAUAGCGGAGAAAUUCCAAUCGAACUCGGAGAUAGCUGGUUCUCCCCGAAAUAGCUUUAGGGCUAGCGUUAUUUUAGAUUACCGGAGGUAAAGCACUGAAUGGUCUAGGGGCCGCGAGGUUACCAAAGCCUAUCAAACUCUGAAUGCCGGAUAAUUGAUGAAUAGCAGUCAGACUGUGUGAGAUAAGUCUCAUAGUCAAAAGGGAAACAGCCCAGAUCUACAGCUAAGGUCCCAAAGCAGGUUUAAGUGGAAAAGGAUGUGGAGUUGCUAAGACAACCAGGAUGUUGGCUUAGAAGCAGCCACUCAUUCAAAGAGUGCGUAAUAGCUCACUGGUCGAGUGGUUUUGCGCAGAAAAUGUAACGGGGCUAAGUGUUCAACCGAAGCUUAGGCAUUGCAGUAAUGCAUUGGGUAGGGGAGCGUCGUAUGCGGGGCGAAGUCAGAGCGGAAGCACUGGUGGACUGCAUACGAGUGAGAAUGCCGGAAUAAGUAGCGAGAAUUAUGUGAGAAUCAUAAUGGCCGAAAAUCUAAGGUUUCUUGGGGAAGGUUCGUCCGCCCAAGGUAAGUCGGGAGCUAAGCUCAGGCCGAAAGGCGUAGGCGAUGCACAUACGGUAGAAAUUCCGUAACCACCGAACAUUUAAGCUAGAGGGACGCUUUCUUUAAGGUUAUCCCGGGCGAUGGUUGCCCCGGGCGUAAGGGACCGAAAUAUAGUAGGGAAGUAACUGGCGAGAGAGACGAGAAAAGCUCUAGUGUAUACUAAGGUGCCCGUACCGCAAACCGACACAGGUAGAUGGGAUGAGUAUUCUAAGGCCAACGGGAGAAGGGUUGUUAAGGAACUCGGCAAAUUGGCCCCGUAACUUCGGGAUAAGGGGCGCCUGCGAGAGCAGGCCGCAGUGAAAAGGCCCAAGCGACUGUUUAGCAAAAACACAGCUCUCUGCUAAAUCGAAAGAUGACGUAUAGGGGGUGACGCCUGCCCGGUGCUGGAAGGUUAAGGGGAGUGCUUAGCGCAAGCGAAGGUGCGAACUUAAGCCCCAGUAAACGGCGGCCGUAACUAUAACGGUCCUAAGGUAGCGAAAUUCCUUGUCAGGUAAGUUCUGACCCGCACGAAUGGCGUAACGAUUUGGGCACUGUCUCAACAGCCCGCCCGGCGAAAUUGUAGUACCGGUGAAGAUGCCGGUUUCCCGCAACUAGACGGAAAGACCCCAUGGAGCUUCACUGUAGCUUGAUAUUGGAUCUCGGUAUUCCAUGUACAGGAUAGGUGGGAGGCUAGGAAGCGAGCGCGCCAGCGUUCGUGGAGCCAACCUUGGGAUACCACUCUUGGGAUAUUGGGAUUCUAACCUGCGACCAUGAAUCUGGUCGGGGGACACUGUCAGGUGGGCAGUUUGACUGGGGCGGUCGCCUCCAAAAGAGUAACGGAGGCGCUCAAAGGUUCGUUCAGCACGGA